rnacentral:rRNA from 1 species
AACAGGAUUAGAUACCCUGGUAGUCCACGCUGUAAACGAUGAUUACUGGUUGUUAGCGAUAUAUAGCUAGUGACUGAGCGAAAGCAUUAAGUAAUCCACCUGGGGAGUACGUCGGCAACGAUGAAACUCAAAGGAAUUGACGGGGGCCCGCACAAGCGGAGGAACAUGUGGUUUAAUUCGAUGAUACGCGAGGAACCUUACCUGGGUUUAAAUGGGGAGUGGCAGGUGUCGAAAGAUGCUUUUCCUUCGGGACACUCUUCAAGGUGCUGCAUGGUUGUCGUCAGCUCGUGCCGUGAGGUGUCGGGUUAAGUCCCAUAACGAGCGCAACCCUUGCCGAUAGUUGCCAUCACGUAAAGGUGGGCACUCUAUCGGGACUGCCGGUGUAAACCGUGAGGAAGGUGGGGAUGACGUCAAAUCAGCACGGCCCUUACAUCCAGGGCUACACACGUGUUACAAUGGCCAGUACAGAGGGCCGCUACCCCGCGAGGGGAUGCCAAUCUCGAAAGCUGGUCUCAGUUCGGAUUGAAGUCUGGAACCCGACUUCAUGAAGCCGGAUUCGCUAGUAAUCGCGCAUCAGCCACGGCGCGGUGAAUACGUUCCCGGGCCUUGUACACACCGCCCGUCAAGCCAUGGGAGCCGGGGGUACCUGAAGUAUGUAACCGCAAGGAGCGUACUAGGGUAAAACUGGUGACUGGGGCUAAGUCGUAACAAGGUAACC